UGAAUACGAGAUGCUACGGCGUCGAAGCAGUCUAUGUCAUACUUCCAAGAAAAGCUUGCACUGUCAUAACAAAUAAUGCCUGUACCAUAACCGACACAGGUGGGUAGGUAGAGUAUACUAAGGGGCGCGAGAUAACUCUCUCUAAGGAACUCGGCAAAAUGACUCCGUAACUUCGGGAGAAGGAGUGCCUUAUUUAUAAGGUUGCAAUAACAAGAUCCAAGCAACUGUUUACCAAAAACACAGGUCUCCGCUAAGUCGUAAGACGAUGUAUGGGGGCUGACGCCUGCCCGGUGCCAGAAGGUUAAAGAAGUUGGUUAGCAUCCGCGAAGCUGAUAACUGAAGCCCUGGUGAACGGCGGCCGUAACAAUAACGGUCCUAAGGUAGCGAAAUUCCUUGUCGGGUAAGUUCCGACCCGCACGAAAGGCGUAAUGAUUUGGAUACUGUCUCGGAGAGGGGCUCGGUGAAAUAGACUUGUCUGUGAAGAUGCGGACUACCUGCACCAGGACAGAAAGACCCUAUGAAGCUUUACUGUAACCUGAAAUUGAAAUUGGACUUUACUUGCGCAGUAUAGGUGGGAGGCGUUGAGAAUAUUCUUGCGGGAUUAUUGGAGCCAUCAGUGAGAUACCACUCUUGUAAUGUUAGAUUUCUAACUUUGUAUCAUUAUCUGGUCAAAGAACAGUUUCAGGCGGGCAGUUUGACUGGGGCGGUCGCCUCCUAAACGGUAACGGAGGCGCACAAAGGUUUCCUCUGAACGGGUAGAAAUCGUAUCUAGAGUGUAAAGGCAUAAGGAAGCUUGACUGUGAGACCUACAAGUCGAGCAGGGACGAAAGUCGGUCUUAGUGAUCUGACGGUGCUGAGUGGAAAGGCCGUCACUCAACGGAUAAAAGUUACUCUAGGAUAACAGGCUGAUCUCCCCCAAGAGUUCACAUCGACGGGGAGGUUUGGCACCUCGAUGUCGGCUCAUCGCAUCCUGGGGCGGUAGUACGUCCCAAGGGUUGGGCUGUUCGCCCAUGAAAGCGGUACGCGAGCUGGGUUCAGAACGUCGUGAGACAGUUCGGUCCAUAUCCGGUGUAGGCGUUAGAAUAUUGAGAGGAGCCUUCUUUAGUACGAGAGGACCGAGAAGGACAUACCUCUGGUGUACCAGUUAUCGUGCCAACGGUAAACGCUGGGUAGCUAUGUGUGGAGUGGAUAACCGCUGAAAGCAUCUAAGUGGGAAGCCCACCUCAAGAUAAG
rnacentral:rRNA from 1 species